rnacentral:rRNA from 1 species
AGAGUUUGAUCCUGGCUCAGGAUGAACGCUAGCUACAGGCUUAACACAUGCAAGUCGAGGGGCAGCAUGGUCUUAGCUUGCUAAGGCUGAUGGCGACCGGCGCACGGGUGAGUAACACGUAUCCAACCUGCCGUCUACUCUUGGCCAGCCUUCUGAAAGGAAGAUUAAUCCAGGAUGGGAUCAUGAGUUCACAUGUCCGCAUGAUUAAAGGUAUUUUCCGGUAGACGAUGGGGAUGCGUUCCAUUAGAUAGUAGGCGGGGUAACGGCCCACCUAGUCAACGAUGGAUAGGGGUUCUGAGAGGAAGGUCCCCCACAUUGGAACUGAGACACGGUCCAAACUCCUACGGGAGGCAGCAGUGAGGAAUAUUGGUCAAUGGGCGAUGGCCUGAACCAGCCAAGUAGCGUGAAGGAUGACUGCCCUAUGGGUUGUAAACUUCUUUUAUAAAGGAAUAAAGUCGGGUAUGCAUACCCGUUUGCAUGUACUUUAUGAAUAAGGAUCGGCUAACUCCGUGCCAGCAGCCGCGGUAAUACGGAGGAUCCGAGCGUUAUCCGGAUUUAUUGGGUUUAAAGGGAGCGUAGGUGGACAGUUAAGUCAGUUGUGAAAGUUUGCGGCUCAACCGUAAAAUUGCAGUUGAUACUGGCUGUCUUGAGUACAGUAGAGGUGGGCGGAAUUCGUGGUGUAGCGGUGAAAUGCUUAGAUAUCACGAAGAACUCCGAUUGCGAAGGCAGCUCACUGGACUGCAACUGACACUGAUGCUCGAAAGUGUGGGUAUCAAACAGGAUUAGAUACCCUGGUAGUCCACGCAGUAAACGAUGAUAACUCGUUGUCGGCGAUACACAGUCGGUGACUAAGCGAAAGCGAUAAGUUAUCCACCUGGGGAGUACGUUCGCAAGAAUGAAACUCAAAGGAAUUGACGGGGGCCCGCACAAGCGGAGGAACAUGUGGUUUAAUUCGAUGAUACGCGAGGAACCUUACCCGGGCUUGAAAGUUACUGACGAUUCUGGAAACAGGAUUUCCCUUUGGGGCAGGAAACUAGGUGCUGCAUGGUUGUCGUCAGCUCGUGCCGUGAGGUGUCGGGUUAAGUCCCAUAACGAGCGCAACCCCUACCGUUAGUUGCCAUCAGGUCAAGCUGGGCACUCUGGCGGGACUGCCGGUGUAAGCCGAGAGGAAGGUGGGGAUGACGUCAAAUCAGCACGGCCCUUACGUCCGGGGCUACACACGUGUUACAAUGGUAGGUACAGAGGGUCGCUACUCCGUGAGGAGAUGCCAAUCUCGAAAGCCUAUCUCAGUUCGGAUUGGAGGCUGAAACCCGCCUCCAUGAAGUUGGAUUCGCUAGUAAUCGCGCAUCAGCCAUGGCGCGGUGAAUACGUUCCCGGGCCUUGCACUCACCGCCCGUCAAG